CAACAGUUACUGAACCCUAUCAAACUCCGAAUGCCAUAUACUUGUACCCCGGCAGUCAGACUACGAAUGAUAAGAUCCGUGGUCAAAAGGGAAACAGCCCAGACCAUCAGCUAAGGUCCCAAAGUGUAAGUUAAGUGGGAAAGGAUGUGGGAUUUCUAAGACAACUAGGAUGUUGGCUUAGAAGCAGCCACUCAUUUAAAGAGUGCGUAAUAGCUCACUAGUCGAGAGAUCCUGCGCCGAAGAUGUAACGGGGCUCAAACUUACCACCGAAGCUAUGGAUGUGUACUUUGUACACGUGGUAGAGGAGCUUUCUGUACAGGUUGAAGUCAUACCGUAAGGAGUGGUGGACAGUACAGAAGUGAGAAUGCUGGCAUAAGUAGCGAAAAACAAGUGAGAAUCUUGUUGACCGAAUAUCUAAGGUUUCCUGGGGAAGGCUCGUCCUCCCAGGGUUAGUCGGGACCUAAGCCGAGGCCGAAAGGCGUAGGGGAUGGACAACUGGUUGAUAUUCCAGUACCACCAUAAUGCGUUUGACAAAUGGGAUGACGCAGGAGGAUAGGAUGUGCGCACUAUUGGAUGUGCGUCUAAGCACUUA
rnacentral:rRNA from 1 species